GACGAACGCUGGCGGCGUGCUUAACACAUGCAAGUGGAGCGACGAACCAGGGCUUGCCCUGGGGCAGAGCCGCGAACGGGUGAGUAACACGUGGGUAACCUACCCCGAUGACCGGGACAACCCGAGGAAACUCGGGCUAAUACCGGAUGUUCUCGUAUCUCUCAAGGGUUACGAGCAAAGAUAGCUUCGGCCUUCGCAUCGGGACGGGCCCGCGGCCCAUUAGCUUGUUGGUGGGGUAACGGCCUACCAAGGCUGCGAUGGGUAGCUGGUCUGAGAGGACGAUCAGCCACACUGGGACUGAGACACGGCCCAGACUCCUACGGGAGGCAGCAGUGGGGAAUCUUGCGCAAUGCGCGAAAGCGUGACGCAGCAACGCCGCGUGGGGGAAGAAGGCCUUCGGGUUGUAAACCCCUUUCAGUUGGGACGAAGCUUCGAGGGUUAAUAGCUCUCUGGAGUGACGGUACCUUCAGAAGAAGCCCCGGCUAACUACGUGCCAGCCGCCGCCGUAAUAC
rnacentral:rRNA from 1 species